rnacentral:rRNA from 1 species
AUUGAACGCUGGCGGAAUGCUUUACACAUGCAAGUCGAGCGGCAGCGCGGGGGCAACCCUGUCGGCGAGCGGCGAACGGGUGAGUAACACAUCGGAAAGUACCCAGCUGUGGGGGAUAGCCCGGCGAAAGCCGGAUUAAUACCGCAUACGACAUGAGGGUGGAAGGGGGGGAUCGCAAGGCCUCCCGCAGAUGGCGCGGCCGCUGGCGGAUUAGCUAGUUGGUGAGGUAAAGGCUCACCAAGGCGACGAUCCGUAGCUGGUCUGAGAGGACGACCAGCCACACUGGAACUGAGACACGGUCCAGACGCCUACGGGAGGCAGCAGUGGGGAAUUUUGGACAAUGGGGGCAACCCUGAUCCAGCCAUUCCGCGUGAGUGAAGAAGGCCUUCGGGUUGUAAAGCUCUUUCGGCAGGAACGAAACGGUGGAGGCUAAUACCUUUCAUCAAUGACGGUACCUGAAGAAGAAGCACCGGCUAACUACGUGCCAGCCGCCGCGGUAA